GAUGAAGAACGUAGCGAAAUGCGAUAAGUAAUGUGAAUUGCAGAAUUCAGUGAAUCAUCGAAUCUUUGAACGCACAUUGCGCCCUUUGGUAUUCCUUAGGGCAUGCCUGUUCGAGCGUCAUUUGAAACCUCAAGCUCAGCUUGGUGUUGGGUGUCUGUCCCCGCCUCACCGCGGGGACUCGCCUCAAAAUCAUUGGCGGCCGGUACGUUGGCUUCGAGCGCAGCAGAAACGCGAACUCGAGGCCCGGCGGAUCGGCGACCAGAAGUCACUUCUUCACAGUUUGACCUCGGAUCAGGUAGGGAUACCCGCUGAACUUAAGCAUAUAAUAAGCGGAGGA
rnacentral:misc_RNA from 1 species